GCAUGUGUGCGAUUCAUUGAGUUAUGAAUUCAAACAGACAAAACUGAAAGGCGCAACGAAAGUGAAGGCGCGCGCUUGUCGCGCGCUCAGGGAGGAUGGAGCGUCGGUCGUCAAAAAUCGAUCUCUCGCACGUCCGAGGCGUCUCGUUUCCAAUCAUCGAAUGAGGGCGCGCUCUGAGCACAGAUGCUGGGACCCGAAAGAUGGUGAACUAUGCCUGGUCAGGUCGAAGUCAGGGGAAACCCUGAGGGAGGACCGUAGCGAUUCUGAUGUGCAAAUCGAUCGUCGGAACUGGGUAUAGGGGCGAAAGACUAAUCGAACCAUCUAGUAGCUGGUUCCGUCCGAAGUUUCCCUCAGGAUAGCUGGCGUCGACUCGUAACAGUCUCAUCCGGUAAAGCGAAUGAUUAGAGGCAUUGGGGCCGAAACGACCUCAACCUAUUCUCGAACUUUAAAUGGGUGAGAACUCCGGCUUACUCGAACGAUGAAGCCGGAGAUCUGAUGACGGUGCUAAGUGGGCCAAUUUUGGUAAGCAGAACUGGCGCUGUGGGAUGAACCAAACGUAGUGUGAAGGGGCCUAAAAAACGCUCAUGGGACACCAUGAAAGGCGUUGGUCGCUCAUGACAGCAGGACGGUGGCCAUGGAAGUCGGAAUCCGCUAAGGAGUGUGCAACGACUCACCUGCCGAAGCGACCAGCCCUGAAAAUGGAUGGCUCUGAAGCGUUUUGCCUAUACACUACCGUUACCGGCAAUCGGCGCGUGCGUGUCAAAGCGCACGCGUAUUAUGCCGUAACGAGUAGGACGUGCGCGGCGGAGUGCGCAGAAGGGUCUGGGCGUGAGCCCGCCUGGAGCCUCCGUCGGUGCAGAUCUUGGUGGUAGUAGCAAAUACUCCAGCGAGGCCCUGGAGGACUGACGUGGAGAAGGGUUUCGCGUGAACAGUAGUUGCCCGCGAGUCAGUCGAUCCUAAGCUCAAGGAGAGAUCUUAUGUCGAUGCGGCGUGUUUAUAUAUAUUUUGUGUAUAUGAUAAAUAACGUCCUUUGAGCGAAAGGGAAUCCGGUUCCUAUUCCGGAACCCGGCAGCGGAACCGUUUCAAUAAUCGUUCUCUCGUUUCUCAAGCGAGUGUUCGACGGGGUAACCCAAAGUGGCCUGAAGACGCCGCCGAGUGGUCCGGGAAGAGUUUUCUUUUCUGCCUGAGCGUUCGAGUUCCAUGGAAUCCUAUAGAAGGGAGAUAUGGUUCGGAACGCGAAGAGCACCGCGUUUGCGGCGGUGUCCGGAUACUCUCUGCGGACCUUGAAAAUUCAGGUGAGGGAUGUACGUGGAGAUGUCGCGCCGGCUCGUACCCAUAUCCGCAGCAGGUCUCCAAGGUGAAGAGCCUCUAGUCGAUAGAAUAAUGUAGGUAAGGGAAGUCGGCAAAUUGGAUCCGUAACUUCGGAAUAAGGAUUGGCUCUGAGGACCGGGGCGUGUCGGGUUUGGACGGGAAGCGGAUGCGGCCGGUGCCGGGCCUGGUCGAUGCUCGCACGUGUCUCCAUCGCAAGGUGGUCUCGCGCGUCGUGCUGAAUCCGGACCCACGUUCCGGCCUUCCGCGGAUCUUCCUAGCCGUAAGUCCGCGUCGGUUUCGUCUCUUGGCGUAUCGGCACGGUACUGUACGACCGCCGUUCAACGGUCAGCUCAGAACUGGCUCGGACAAGGGAAAUCCGACUGUCUAAUUAAAACAAAGCAUUGCGAUGGCCCUCGCGGGUGUUGACGCAAUGUGACUUCUGCCCAGUGCUCUGAAUGUCAACGUGAAGAAAUUCAAGCAAGCGCGGGU